rnacentral:snRNA from 1 species
GGACAUAAAGAGUGGUCUGUCACCCCACUGAUCGCCAGGUUAUUUGGCUGAUCAGGCUGGUGAGCCGGGUGUUUCCUUCCUCCACACCCCUCCCAAAGCUGCACAGUUGGUCAAAGGUGACCACUCCCUAUAGAGGAGGACCAUUUCCUCGGUCAGGGUAUACAAGUAGCUGUGCUCCCCUGCUAGAACUUUUUUUUUGUUUUUGAGGAGAACAAUUAGAAGCUAGAACUUUUAAUCAAGCUCUCAAAGUGAGGUCCUGACUCAAAAAAAACCCCCAAAAUUU